rnacentral:rRNA from 1 species
GUGGGGAAUAUUGGACAAUGGGGGGAACCCUGAUCCAGCCAUGCCGCGUGUGUGAAGAAGGCCUUUUGGUUGUAAAGCACUUUAAGAGAGGAGGAGGCUACCGAGAUUAAUACUCUUGGAUAGUGGACGUUACUCGCAGAAUAAGCACCGGCUAACUCUGUGCCAGCAGCCGCGGUAAUACAGAUGGUGCAAGCGUUAAUCGGAUUUACUGGGCGUAAAGCGCGCGUAGGUGGCCAAUUAAGUCAAAUGUGAAAUCCCCGAGCUUAACUUGGGAAUUGCAUUCGAUACUGGUUGGCUAGAGUAUGGGAGAGGGUGGUAGAAUUCCAGGUGUAGCGGUGAAAUGCGUAGAGAUCUGGAGGAAUACCGAUGGCGAAGGCAGCCAUCUGGCCUAAUACUGACACUGAGGUGCGAAAGCAUGGGGAGCAAACAGGAUUAGAAACCCGGGUAGUCC